GCCGGGCUUGGUGGCGCAUGCCUGUAAUCCCAGCUACUUGGGAGGCUGAGGUAGGAGAAUCGCUUGAACCCGGGUGGCAGAGGUUGCAGUGAGCCAAGAUUGUGCCAUUGCACUUCAGCCUGGGCAACAAGAGUGAAACUCUGUCUCAAUAAUAAUAAUAGUCAUAAUAAUUUAAUUUAAUUUUUUUUUGAGACAGAGUCUCACUCUGUUGCCCAGGGCUGGAGUGCAGUGGUGCGAUCUCAUCUCACUGCAACCUCCACCUCCUGGGUCCAAGGGAUUCUCCUGC
rnacentral:lncRNA from 10 species